CGCUGCACUAAUGGGAGCACACACACUGUGUUGCCAAUAGAAGCUGAUGUAUGGAGGUGAUUUAUUAUAUUGCAGUUGGCAUUUACAGUCUUGAAAGGCAAAAAUGAAUAAAUACGGACAAUGAGUCACUUUGUUUUGCAACUAAUACAAAUGCUCAACCCAUCAGCGUGUGUUUUCAGCACAUAAUGGUUUACAGUGUAUUGUGAUUUGACUACUCAAUUAUGGAUGUUUGCAGUUUUUAUACUGCCAGGAAUAUAUGUAAAACAGCAUUACCUUGCAGAAACACUAAGGCACCAUAUACAGUAAGUUAUGGAAAUGAUUAGCAUGGUGUCAAAGUGCUGUUUGGUUUUUCACAAAGGCGUCUGUGGCCGGCAUGAACACAGAGGAGAGCGGAGGAGUUGUGAGAGAGCGAUUCCUCCUGACCCUGCGGUUAAUGAAACCCUUCCUGUGCCUUUGUCAGUUUUAACUGGGAGAUUGUGUCAUACCGCACUGGAGCUGCCUGCAGUCGCCAUCCUACUUCCCUGAGCAGCAUACUGAGUUGUCAGUAUAAAAACAAUCCUCUGUUACUUGACUGCUAGCAUUCAGUUUGGUAGAUAUGUUUGUUGCAAUGCUGUCCCUCCUUUCAAACGCAGGCAGACAGAGAGUGAAAAAAUGUAUUUUUCUAUAACCAGUCUCCAGGAAAGUUUAAUCCAGCUCUAAAUAAAAAUAAAGAUAGAAAUAAAUCAUUCCGUUUUUUUUUUUAAAUAGGCCUCCCUCUUUUCUCGCGCGCACACAUAUCUGUUGGCACAUUACUAGGGAGCAAUUUCUGACUGGUGUGAAACACCUCUGAUAUUGUGUAAGCUGCCAAUAUAUUAAAAAAAAAUGUACAUGAAGUAUUUAUCAACCUGUCCCUCAUUAUUUCCACUGAACUGGAGAAUAAGCUGCCAGCCAAUGAAGCCUGAGAUAAUGCCUGGGUGUUAAAGCAAGCUAUCUAAGCUAGGUCUCUCCAUGACGUCAACGACUGUGAAGGGUUUUCAUGUAAAGCUUGCGGGCAGGUUUGGUGAAGAAUUGAACAGGUUUGCCAUAGCGAGAAUGCCAUCUUUUGACUGACAGGAAAUGUAAUCUUUUUUCAAUUGUUUCCAUGCCCCAAAAGGCAGAUUACACAUUGUUUUAUAUACACUGAAUGGCACAGCAAAUCAAUUCUUUGUAGCACCAGUUCGUCAUCUGUCUUCAGUGUUGUUUUUGUUUAAAUGGAGUGGCCUCUGGUAGAAUUCAAGGUAAUGAAGUGCAGCAUUUCUUCUGUUUGUUAACUGUAAAUUUAUAUUUAUGCCAUUUCUGUUCUUUUUACAAAAGCAGGAAUGGAAAUUAUAAGGUUGAUGGGAACAUCCUGAAAUUUUCUAUAUAAACUUUUCUUUCUUUUUUCCCUUUUUCUUUUUUUAAAUCUUCAAUCUUUCAAAUCAUCAUUCUGAAAAACAAUGUGAUGAGAAGUGUAGAAUGGAAAUGUUUACUCAAAUGUGUAUGAAGGUCCUUUAGCCACCAGGGAUAUAGUUGUACAUUUAUAGGCUCUAGAUCACUGGAAUGAUAUAUACGGCUUUAAGUGGCAUUGAUAUAUCUAUAUAUAAUAUAUAUAAAUAUAUAUAUUGAUAUUUGUCCAAAAAUAAGAAAAUUAAUGUACUUUAAUUACUUUAUAGCUUACAUUGUGUAUAGCACGUAUGCAAGUCCAUUUUCAUCAUGUUUGAUGUAAUUUUGUAGCAGUGGUUUGAUACUAAUAAAUGGCAGUUGAUGAUGGAGUUCUA